rnacentral:rRNA from 1 species
UACGGAGGGUGCAAGCGUUGUCCGGAUUUAUUGGGUUUAAAGGGUGCGUAGGCGGGCCUUUAAGUCAGUGGUGAAAGCCUGCAGCUCAACUGUAGAAUUGCCAUUGAUACUGGAGGCCUUGAGUACAGAUAAGGUAGGCGGAAUUGAUGAUGUAGCGGUGAAAUGCAUAGAUAUCAUCAGGAACUCCGAUUGCGAAGGCAGCUUACUGGUCUGUAACUGACGCUGAGGCACGAAAGCGUGGGGAGCGAACAGG